rnacentral:rRNA from 1 species
GAUGAACGCUGGCGGCGUGCCUAAUACAUGCAAGUCGAGCGAACGGACGAGAAGCUUGCUUCUCUGAUGUUAGCGGCGGACGGGUGAGUAACACGUGGAUAACCUACCUAUAAGACUGGGAUAACUUCGGGAAACCGGAGCUAAUACCGGAUAAUAUUUUGAACCGCAUGGUUCAAAAGUGAAAGACGGUCUUGCUGUCACUUAUAGAUGGAUCCGCGCUGCAUUAGCUAGUUGGUAAGGUAACGGCUUACCAAGGCAACGAUGCAUAGCCGACCUGAGAGGGUGUUCGCCCACACUGGAACUGAGACACGGUCCAGACUCCUACGGGAGGCAGCAGUAGGGAAUCUUCCGCAAUGGGCGAAAGCCUGACGGAGCAACGCCGCGUGAGUGAUGAAGGUCUUCGGAUCGUAAAACUCUGUUAUUAGGGAAGACCAUAUGUGUAAGUAACUGUGCACAUCUUGACGGUACCUAAUCAGAAAGCCACGGCUAACUACGUG